rnacentral:sRNA from 1 species
UUCGUGACGCUGGCUGCUGAUAGCUGAUGGCCGCCUCGCACCAACUGGAGCGGACAGCGGCAACGUAUAUGCGUCCUUCCGCGUUGCAAAGGAGGCUUGAUCGUGCUGACCGCUGACUACUGAUCGCGGCACGCUCCUCCAACUGGCUGUGACAGCAGCACAUGCGAACCCGAUGCCCCAACCAGCGCGCGACAUCUGCUCAACGGUUCGCUACACGCGUCGCAAGCACCGGCGUCUUCAUCCAAUCCCCACAGC